rnacentral:tRNA from 1 species
CCUUAAUGAUCAAUAGAUUAGUUUAAUAUAAAACAUUAAUUUGUCAAAUUAAAAAUAUUAAUUAUAAUAUCUAUUU